AGGGUGUAAACGCUGCAGACUUGGUGUUGGAAGUCCUUUGGGGGCAUUCAGUGCCGGAGAGAAGUUGUUAAGUCUGCUACUUGGGGAGUACGUCCGCAAGGAUGAAACUUAAAGGAAUUGGCGGGGGAGCACCGCAACGGGAGGAGCGUGCGGUUUAAUUGGAUUCAACACCGUAAACUCACCAGGGAAGACUGUUACAUGAAAGCCGAGAUGAAGACUCUGCUAGACUUUCAGAGAGGAGGUGCAUGGCGUCAGUGACU
rnacentral:rRNA from 1 species